AUCGCUUCUCGGCCUUUUCGCUAAAAUCAAAGUAUAGUAUCUGUCCUCAACAGCUUUAUAUCUGAAAAUCUGAUACGUUUAGGGCCAUAGAACGAGGCGAAGAGUUUGGGGCUUGCCUUUGCCACGGGUUGACCUGGUAUUGCAAUACUUCUAGGAUUCACCGCAUCUCG
rnacentral:snRNA from 1 species